rnacentral:rRNA from 2 species
AGUUUGAUCCUGGCUCAGAACGAACGCUGGCGGCAGGCCUUACACAUGCAAGUCGAACGAGAAACCACCUUCGGGUGGCAGAAAGUGGCAGACAGGUGAGUAACGCGUGGGAACUUACCCUAAGGUGAGGAAUAACUCGUGGAAACGCGGGCUAAUACCUCAUAAUUCGGGCAACCGACAAAGAUUUAUCGCCUUAGGAUAGGCCCGCGUUGGAUUAGUUUGUUGGUGAGGUAAAAGCUCACCAAGACUACGAUCCAUAGCUGGUUUGAGAGGAUGAUCAGCCACACUGGGACUGAGACACGGCCCAGACUCCUACGGGAGGCAGCAGUGGGGAAUAUUGCGCAAUGGGCGAAAGCCUGACGCAGCCAUGCCGCGUGAGUGAAGAAGGCUUUAGGGUUGUAAAACUCUUUCAUCGGUGAAGAUAAUGACGGUAGCCGAAGAAGAAGCUCCGGCCAACUCCGUGCCAGCAGCCGCGGUAAGACGGAGGGGGCAGGCGUUGUUCGGAAUUACUGGGCGUAAAGCGCGCGUAGGCGGAUAGGUUAGUUGGAGGUGAAAUCCCAGAGCUCAACUUUGGAACUGCCUUCAAUACUGCCUGUCUAGAGAGCGAAAGGGGUGAGCGGAAUUUCCAGUGUAGAGGUGGAAUUCGUAGAUAUUGGAAAGAACACCAGAGGCGAAGGCGGCUCACUGGGUCCCUUCUGACGCUGAGGCGCGAAAGUGUGGGGAGCGAACAGGAUUAGAUACCCUGGUAGUCCACACUGUAAACGAUGAGCACUAGCUGUCGGGCUUCGGCUCGGUGGCGCAGCUAACGCGUUAAGUGCCCCGCCUGGGGAGUACGGCCGCAAGGCUAAAACUCAAAGGAAUUGACGGGGGCCCGCGCAAGCGGUGGAGCAUGUGGUUUAAUUCGAGGCAACGCGAAGAACCUUACCAGCUCUUGACAUCCUGGUCGCGGAGAAUGGAGACAUUCACCUUCAGUUCGGCUGGACCAGUGACAGGUGCUGCAUGGCUGUCGUCAGCUCGUGUCGUGAGAUGUUGGGUUAAGUCCCGCAACGAGCGCAACCCUCGCCCUUAAUUGCCAGCAGGUUAAGCUGGGUACUUUAGGGGAACUGCCGUCGACAAGGCGGAGGAAGGUGGGGAUGACGUCAAGUCCUCAUGGCCCUUAUGGGCUGGGCUACACACGUGCUACAAUGGUGGUGACAGUGGGUUGCAAGCGCGCAAGCGUGAGCCAAUCUCUAAAAACCAUCUCAGUCCGGAUUGUACUCUGCAACUCUGAGUGCAUGAAGUUGGAAUCGCUAGUAAUCGCGGAUCAGCACGCCGCGGUGAAUACGUUCUCGGGCCUUGUACACACCGCCCGUCAAACCAUGGGAGUUGGUUCUACCCGAAGAUAGUGAGCUAACCUUUUAGGAGG